rnacentral:rRNA from 1 species
UUCCCGUAGGGGGCUCGGAAGGAU